AAGGCCUUAGCUUAAUUAAAGCGUCUGAUUUGCAUUCAGUUAAUGUGGGAUAGAGCCCCGCAGGUCUUA
rnacentral:tRNA from 1 species